CGUACGAUACGAGUUGAUCAUGGCUCAGGAUGAACGCUAGCGGCAGGCCUAAUACAUGCAAGUCGAACGGAUAUAUGUUUUUCGGAAUAUAUAUUAGUGGCGCACGGGUGAGUAACACGUACAUAACUUGCCCUCAAGCGGGGGAUAGCCUUGGGAAACUGAGAGUAAUACCCCAUAGAAUUAUUGGACGGCAUCGUUUGAUAAUUAAAACUACGGUGCUUGGGGAUAGAUGUGCGUCUGAUUAGCUAGUUGGUGAGGUAACUGCUCACCAAGGCGACGAUCAGUAGGGGGCGUGAGAGCGUGGCCCCCCCACACGGGUACUGAGACACGGACCCGACUCCUACGGGAGGCAGCAGUAAGGAAUAUUGGUCAAUGGAGGGAACUCUGAACCAGCCAUGCCGCGUGAAGGAUGACGGCCCUCUGGGUUGUAAACUUCUUUUGGAUGGGGCGAAAAACGGGNUUUAUCCUGGACUGACGGUACCAUCAGAAUAAGCACCGGCUAACUCCGUG
rnacentral:rRNA from 1 species